rnacentral:lncRNA from 1 species
GUAGCACUAGAGCGUAUAUUAUGAUUACACCUGGUCUUGUUCAUGUCAGAAAUCCUCUACAUGAACUCAUGUGUCAGCAUAGAUUGAUGAGCACCUGAUUUUAUUAUGCUACUAUUGUUGUAGAGCCAAAAAAUAAUCACAAGGUGACACGUGGAUUUUUGGGUAAAAGAGAACAAAAAUACCCUUGAGGCAUACUGGGAUUCCUACGCGUGAGCAGCGGACAAUCAUUCGUCAAUCAAGUCAAAAGUGUCCAAAAUAGGUAACAAAUUUAAAGAUAUUCUCAUCCAUCCUCAUCUAGGUAAUUAUUUUAUAACCUACAUAACAUUCCAUUUAAGUGGAGGCUAAUUGGCUAAUUAAUGGAUUAAUUCCUAAUUAAUCCAUUAAUCACCAAUUAAAUCAUUCAAAGAAGGCCGGUCAUGCUCUAUAGGACUCCAUUUUCUCUAAAAAGCUAGGUCCACACUCUUGCAAAACUCCAAAAACUCUCUAAACACUUUUUCUCUCUCUAAAUUCUAAUUUUGGCAUCGGAGGUUCUUCGGCCAAAGCCUCCCGCAUUCAUUGUGGGCGCGUGAGGCUUUUGGCCUUAACCAAAGGUGUUAGUUGUUUUGUAGGUGCAAUUUUGUCCAAGAUCAAGGAGGAAGAAAUUUGCAUCCACAAUUGUGAUAUUAUGAUUUGGCAUAUUUCUGGAUUUAUUGUUGAUUUACAUUUGAUUUCAUACUUAUAUGUAGUA